rnacentral:tRNA from 1 species
GCGGGUGUGGCGGAAUGGUAGACGCGCCAGGUUUAGGUCCUGGUGGGCACAGCCCGUGGGGGUUCGAGUCCCUCCACCCGCA